CACUGCUUUCGAGUGAGCUCUGGCUGGCUGGAUCAUGUUGAGUGUCGCACGGGCGAUUGAUGCUUAGGGAAUGUACCGCUGGAGUCGGGAUAACCCUUCGAAAGGGGGGCUAAUACCGGAUGAAGUCAAGAAUUUUUCGGAAUAUUUGAUGAAAGGUGGCCUCUAUAUAUAAGCUACUGUUCGGAGAUGAGCCUGCGUACCAUUAGCUAGUUGGCAGGGUAAUGGCCUACCAAGGCUACGAUGGUUAGCUGGUCUGAGAGGAUGAUCAGCCACACCGGAACUGGAACACGGUCCGGACUCCUACGGGAGGCAGCAGUGAGGAAUUUUGCGCAAUGGGGGAAACCCUGACGCAGCAACGCCGCGUGAGUGAUGAAGGCUUUCGGGUCGUAAAGCUCUGUCAAGUGGGAAGAACCCGCAUCAAGGUUAUAUUUUGAUGCGCUGACGGUACCACUGAAGGAAGCACCGGCUAACUCCGUGCCAGCAGCCGCGGUAUUACGGAGGGUGCAAGCGUUAUUCGGAAUUAUUGGGCGUAAAGGGCGCGCAUGCGGUCUGAUUAGUCAGAUGUGAAAGCCCAGGUCUCAACCCUUGGAAGUGCAUUUUGAAACUGCUAGACUUGAUUAUGGGAGAGGAUAGUGGAAUUCCCGGUGUAGCGGUGUAAUGCGUAGAUAUCGGGAGGAAUACCAUUGGUGAAUGUUACUUUUCUGGA
rnacentral:rRNA from 1 species